AUAUUGAUGCACUAACUUGUGCUUUAUAGGAUAAAGGAUGUUACAGAUUGUUUGUUUGGAAAAUGUUUGUGGACGUGUAAACAAAUACAAUAUACAACAGGAUCAUUAUUUUGAGGCCUAUUAGUAUAUCGUUAGGUCCAUUAGUAUGUUUACUUAAAUUUCUAAUGAACAAUAUAACAAAGUAGGGAAAGGAUUAAAAAAUAAAAAGAAGAGGUAAUCGGUUUUUGUUCAUCAUUUGUUUAUACUCGGAUAUCUCAUACCGAUUUAGAUUUGUGAUCUACAAAAUGAAGGGCGAUGAAAUAUGAAGACGAUGUUGCUGGUCAUGUACGGAAACUAUGAAUCCAAGGGUGAACUACGGUUGAUUUUUGUCGACAAAAGAUAAGAGACUAACAUUACGGUUCCUUUUUUUUGGCUGGUUUUAUCUUCCACGCAACUGACGCAGUCCAACAUUUUCUCUUGUAGUUUACUUUGUGUUGUUUUCAUCUUCCCGGGUUAAUAAGAAACAGCAAUAUAUGAUUCAUGAACAGAUCUGAGGAUUAAAGAGAUAAGCUAUUUCGAUAUUAUUUUCAGAAUUUUCCAACUGUGAUCUUUUAAGUUUAGUGAAUGUGUCUAGACAAAAUCUGGGAUAAAAGAUAAGUGACUAAUCCCAGAUUGACUUCAGGUAGAUUUCUUUUGCAGGUUUUUUUUAAUGGUACUUAACAUGAUUAUCAGAAGCAUAAAUUAGAUGGUUAACAUACCGUGUAACCAUGUCUUUUUUGACUGAUGCGUGGAUUUUCAUUCCCUGAAAUGAUUAAAGUAGGUGUGUCAAGAUUCAUGUGAAUAAUAAAUAAGAAUGAUGGAAAUUAUGUUUAUUGAUUGCUUCUUACAGUUUCAUCAGCCAAGAUCAACUCCAGGGUUUCUCCUGUGCUGUUUGUGUAUUGACUCAACAAGUGAAGAACUUUCACUUGCACCAUCGACACCAUCUUGUAAGGGCGGACAUCUCUCAAGAAAGCAAAUGUUGCAGCUAUUUCUCUCAAUUUGUUUAGCUAUGCGGUUGUAGGUUUUGGUUAUGGGUGUUGUGUUUUGUUUGUGAAGAUAUUUAUACAUGAGAAAUGCUUUAUGAGCAAAGAGUUUACGAUCUGUAGCAAUAAAAAAGAGAUUUUAGUGUUUUCCUUAUUGAGUUGAUAACAUUAUCGCAGAAUAA